rnacentral:rRNA from 1 species
CCUACGGGAGGCAGCAGUGAGGAAUAUUGGUCAAUGGACGAGAGUCUGAACCAGCCAAGUAGCGUGAAGGAUGACUGCCCUAUGGGUUGUAAACUUCUUUUAUAUGGGAAUAAAACGUUCCACGUGUGGGAUUUUGUAUGUACCAUAUGAAUAAGGAUCGGCUAACUCCGUGCCAGCAGCCGCGGUAAUACGGAGGAUCAGAGCGUUAUCCGGAUUUAUUGGGUUUAAAGGGAGCGUAGGUGGAUUGUUAAGUCAGUUGUGAAAGUUUGCGGCUCAACCGUAAAAUUGCAGUUGAAACUGGCAGUCUUGAGUACAGUAGAGGUGGGCGGAAUUCGUGGUGUAGCGGUGAAAUGCUUAGAUAUCACGAAGAACUCCGAUUGUGAAGGCAGUUCACUGGACUGCAACUGACACUGAGGCUCGAAAGUGUGGGUAUCAAACAGGAUUAGAUACCCGAGUAGUC